UACGUAGGGUGCAAGCGUUGUCCGGAAUUAUUGGGCGUAAAGGGUGCGUAGGCGGCCAGAUAAGUCCGCUGUGAAAACUCGAGGCUCAACUUCGAGCUGUCGGCGGAAACUAUCUGGCUAGAGUCCGGAAGAGGAGAGUGGAAUUCCUGGUGUAGCGGUGAAAUGCGCAGAUAUCAGGAAGAACACCCGUGGCGAAGGCGGCUCUCUGGGACGGUACUGACGCUGAGACGCGAAAGCGUGGGGAGCGAACAGG
rnacentral:rRNA from 1 species